rnacentral:lncRNA from 1 species
CAAAUAUGACAAUAGAAUAUUCCUAUUUUAAUUAUCAUGGUUUCUGAUGUGCCAGAUCAGUUUGAACUGCAAGCACAGAGCAUACUUAUGUUGGUUAAGGGUCCUGCAACGUUAUCCUGGAUUUCCCAGAAAUAACUCAGAGUGAUGAUCGGAGAGAGAAAGAGAAAUAGGUGCCGUCAACACGGACUUAUACAGUAGCAGUUGGUAAAAUGUAAUUGUAUUAAAAACCAAAUACAAUGUACUACCUUUUGUACUAUUUAUACAAUCACUGGUACUACUGCUACUACCGAGUUGUUAUAAACUUCGGUAUCCUUACAUGAGAAAGAUAAACUGGAAUACAUUUGA